rnacentral:rRNA from 1 species
UACAGAGGGGGCAAGCGUUAUUCGGAAUUAUUGGGCGUAAAGGGCGCGUAGGCGGCCUGGCAAGUGGAAGGUGAAAUCCCUCGGCUUAACCGAGGAACUGCCUCCCAAACUGCUUGGCUUGAGACCGGGAGAGGUGAGUGGAAUUCCCAGUGUAGCGGUGAAAUGCGUAGAUAUUGGGAGGAACACCAGUGGCGAAGGCGGCUCACUGGCCCGAUACUGACGCUGAGGCACGAAAGCGUGGGGAGCAAACAGG